rnacentral:rRNA from 1 species
GAUUAUGGCUCAGGACGAACGCUGGCGGCGUGCUUAACACAUGCAAGUCGAACGAAAAGACGGAAAGAGCUUGCUCUUUCCGGAAUUGAGUGGCAAACGGGUGAGUAACACGUAAACAACCUGCCUUCAGGAUGGGGACAACAGACGGAAACGACUGCUAAUACCGAAUAAGUUCCAAGAGCCGCAUGGCCCAUGGAAGAAAAGGUGGCCUCUACCUGUAAGCUAUCGCCUGAAGAGGGGUUUGCGUCUGAUUAG